AACGAACGCUGGCGGCAGGCCUAACACAUGCAAGUCGAACGCCCUAGCAAUAGGGAGUGGCAGACGGGUGAGUAACACGUGGGAACCUUCCCUAUAGUAUGGAAUAGCCCAGGGAAACUUGGAGUAAUACCGUAUACGCCCGAGAGGGGAAAGAUUUAUCGCUAUAGGAUGGGCCCGCGUAGGAUUAGCUAGUUGGUGAGGUAAUGGCUCACCAAGGCGACGAUCCUUGGCUGGUCUGAGAGGACGACCAGCCACACUGGGACUGAGACACGGCCCAGACUCCUACGGGAGGCAGCAGUGGGGAAUAUUGGACAAUGGGCGCAAGCCUGAUCCAGCCAUGCCGCGUGAGUGAUGAAGGCCUUAGGGUUGUAAAGCUCUUUUGCCGGGGACGAUAAUGACGGUACCCGGAGAAUAAGUCCCGGCUAACUUCGUGCCAGCAGCCGCCGUAA
rnacentral:rRNA from 1 species